UCUGGUUUGGGCUCACUACUUUUGGAACGCUUGUCAGUAGAUUAUGGAAAGAAGUCAAAACUUGGCUUCACCAUCUAUCCUUCUCCUCAGGUUUCUACUGCUGUCGUGGAACCUUACAAUAGUGUGCUCUCCACUCAUUCACUCCUUGAACACACAGAUGUGGCUGUGCUUCUGGACAAUGAAGCUAUCUACGAUAUCUGCAGGAGAUCAUUAGAUAUUGAAAGGCCAACUUACACCAACUUGAACCGCUUAAUAUCCCAGAUUAUCUCUUCUUUGACCACAUCAUUGAGAUUUGAUGGGGCCAUUAAUGUGGAUAUUACGGAGUUCCAAACUAACCUUGUGCCAUAUCCUCGCAUCCAUUUCAUGCUUUCAUCUUAUGCUCCUGUAAUCUCAGCUGCAAAGGCUUACCAUGAGCAGCUUUCAGUUCCUGAGAUCACAAGUGCUGUGUUUGAGCCCUCAAGUAUGAUGGCCAAAUGUGAUCCAAGGCAUGGGAAGUACAUGGCUUGUUGUCUGAUGUAUCGGUGGUGCCAAAGGAUGUUAACGCUGCUGUUGCCACCAUCAAGACAAAGAGGACAAUUCAAUUUGUUGACUGGUGCCCAACUGGUUUCAAGUGUGGUAUCAACUACCAGCCCCCAACGGUAGUACCUGGAGGUGAUCUUGCCAGGGUACAGCG
rnacentral:misc_RNA from 1 species